UCACCCAAUCGUAAUAAAAUUAUAAACGUGAAGAAAAGGCCUUAUCCACGAUAUUUUGGAGAAUGCCAUACUUCUGACAUGGAUAGUCCAAAAA